rnacentral:rRNA from 1 species
AGUGAACGCUGGCGGUAGGCCUAACACAUGCAAGUCGAACGGCAGCACAGUAAGAGCUUGCUCUUACGGGUGGCGAGUGGCGGACGGGUGAGGAAUACAUCGGAAUCUACUUUUUCGUGGGGGAUAACGUAGGGAAACUUACGCUAAUACCGCAUACGACCUACGGGUGAAAGCAGGGGAUCUUCGGACCUUGCGCGAUUGAAUGAGCCGAUGUCGGGUUAGCUAGUUGGCGGGGUAAAGGCCCACCAAGGCGACGAUCCGUAGCUGGUCUGAGAGGAUGAUCAGCCACACUGGAACUGAGACACGGUCCAGACUCCGACGGGAGGCAGCAGUGGGGAAUAUUGGACAAUGGGCGCAAGCCUGAUCCAGCCAUACCGCGUGGGUGAAGAAGGCCUUCGGGUUGUAAAGCCCUUUUGUUGGGAAAGAAAAGCAGCAGGUUAAUACCCCGCUGUUCUGACGGUACCCAAAGAAUAAGCACCGGCUAACUUCGU